rnacentral:rRNA from 1 species
ACGAAGGUCCCGAGCGUUAUUCGGAAUCACUGGGCGUAAAGAGUACGUAGGCGGUUUGGUAAGUCAGGUGUGAAAUCCCGAAGCUCAACUUCGGAACUGCAUCCGAUACUGCCAGACUAGAGAGAUGGAGAGGCAGGUGGAAUUCUCGGUGUAGCAGUGAAAUGCGUGGAUAUCGAGAGGAAGACCAAUGGCGAAGGCAGCCUGCUGGACAUUUUCUGACGCUGAGGUACGAAGGCUAGGGUAGCGAAAGGG